rnacentral:rRNA from 1 species
AUGGCCGCGUAUUGCUCUCUGCUGCUGGCCUUGCUCCUCCUCGCGCUCUCCUCCUCCUCGCCGGCGUCGGCGGCGACCCCGUAUGGCAUCGAGUUCCCGCAGUUCAACGCCGCCGUCGCCGACGCCGGCUGCGACGGCAAGCUGGUCGCCGAGGAGGAGGCGCUCGCGCGCCGGGUCCCGCCGCUCAAGCUCCACAUGACCCACCGGUCCGCCGCGGCUGGCGCGACGGGGACGGGCUCCUUCUUCCUCGACUCGGCCGAGAAAGACGCCGUCCGCAUCGACACGAUGCACCGGAGGGUCGCCCUGUCCGGCUCCGGCGCGGGGCAGAGGGGUUCGGCGCCGAGGAGGGCGCUGUCGGAGCGGGUCCUGGCCACGGUGGAGUCCGGCGUGGCGGUCGGCUCCGGGGAGUACCUGGUGGACGUGUACGUGGGCACGCCGCCGCGCCGGUUCCGGAUGAUCAUGGACACCGGCAGCGACCUCAACUGGCUCCAGUGCGCGCCCUGCCUCGACUGCUUCGAGCAGAGCGGCCCCAUCUUCGACCCGGCGGCGUCCACCUCCUACCGCAACGUCACCUGCGGCGACGAGCGCUGCGGCCUCGUCUCCCCGCCGGCGCCCAGGGAGUGCCGCAGGCCACGGAGCGACCCCUGCCCCUACUACUACUGGUACGGCGACCAGUCGAACACCACCGGCGACCUGGCGCUCGAGGCCUUCACCGUCAACCUCACGGCCACCGGGACCCGGCGCGUGGACGGCGUGGCGUUCGGGUGCGGCCACCAGAACCGCGGCCUCUUCCACGGCGCCGGCGGGCUGCUGGGGCUCGGCCGCGGCCCGCUCUCGUUCGCGUCGCAGCUGCGCGGCGUCUACGGCGGGCACGCCUUCUCCUACUGCCUCGUGGAGCACGGCAGCGCGGCCGGGAGCAAGGUCAUCUUCGGGCACGACGACGCGCUGCUGGCGCACCCACAGCUCAACUACACGGCCUUCGCGCCAGCCACGGACACGGACACCUUCUACUACCUCCAGCUCAAGUCCGUCCUCGUGGGCGGGGAGGCGGUCAACAUCUCCUCCGACACGCUGGCCGCCGGCGGCACCAUCAUCGACUCCGGCACGACGCUGAGCUACUUCCCGGAGCCGGCGUACCGGGCGAUCCGGCAGGCGUUCAUCGACCGCAUGAGCCCGUCCUACCCGCUCAUCGCCGGGUUCCCGGUGCUGAGCCCGUGCUACAACGUGUCCGGGGCCGGAAAGAUCGAGGUGCCGGAGCUGGCGCUGGUGUUCGCGGACGGCGCGGCGUGGGAGUUCCCGGCGGAGAACUACUUCAUCCGGCUGGAGCCGGAGGGGGUGAUGUGCCUGGCCGUCCUGGGCACGCCGCGCUCCGGCAUGUCCAUCAUCGGCAACUACCAGCAGCAGAACUUCCACGUGCUCUACGACCUCGAGCGCAACCGGCUCGGCUUCGCGCCGCGGCGGUGCGCCGAGGUCUAG